rnacentral:rRNA from 1 species
GACGAACGCUGGCGGCGUGCUUAACACAUGCAAGUCGAGCGGAGCGGCGAACGGGUGAGUAACUCGUGAGUAACUGCCCCCCUCUCCGGGAUAACAGUUGGAAACGGCUGCUAAUACCGGACAGUGUGGGAUGACUCGCGUCCUAUCAGCUUGUUGGUGGGGUAGUGGCCUACCAAGGCGACGACGGGUAGCCGGCCUGGGAAGGCGACCAUCCCCAUGCGGCUGAGUUACCGCCCAAGAUCCUACGGUAGGCAGCAGUGAGGAAUAUUACACAAGGGGGGAAACACUGAUGCAGAAACGCCGCGUGCGGGAUGACGGCCUGCGGGAUGUAAACCGCUUUCAGCCAUGACGCGGUAGUUGCAGAAGAAGCAACGGCUAACUACGUGCCAGCAGCCGCGGUAAUUC